CUGCCAUUUAAAAAAUUUUAAAUAAAUGACCUGUCCCUGGCAGACUUUUACGUGUUUCCUACUUCCCGGUGCCUCCAUUCUAGGCCCUGAGGCACAAACAAAUGGCGAGCGCCUCCAAUCAAACAUCAAAAUGCCAUGGGCGCCUGGGUGGCUCAGUGGGUUAAGCCGCUGCCUUCGGCUC